rnacentral:rRNA from 1 species
AGGUAAUAGAUACCCCGGUAGUCCUAGCUGUAAACGGUGCACGUUUGGUGUGGGAGGCAACCCCUUCCGUGCCGAAAGCUAAACGCGAUAAAAACGUGCCGCCUGGGUAGUACGGUCGCAAGACUAAAACUCAAAGAAAUUGACGGGGACCCGCACAAGCGGUGGAGUAUGUGGCUUAAUUCGAUGCAACGCGAAGAACCUUACCAGGGCUUGACAUGUAUUGUAACCCCGGUGAAAGCCGGGCAGCAUGGAAACAUGCGCUUUACACAGGUGCUGCAUGGCUGUCGUCAGCUCGUGUCGUGAGAUGUUGGGUUAAGUCCCCGCAACGAGCGCAACCCUUAUGAUUUGUUGCCACCGGUUCAUUCCGAGCACUCAAAUCAGACUGCCCAGAUUAACUGGGAGGAAGGUGGGAUGACGUCAAGUCCGUAUGGCCCUUACGUCCUGGGCUGCACACGUACUACAAUGUCCAGUACAAAUUGAACCGAUACCGCAAGGUGAGGAAAUCAACAAAACUGGGCUCAGUUCAGAUUGCAGGCUGCAAC